rnacentral:lncRNA from 1 species
GAUGCGUCUGGCAUGCGAGUCGAAGUGGGAGGGAUCGAGGAUGAUGGAGAUGGCAAAUUCACGUAAUUUUCCAGAAUAGUGAAGGACAAAAUCAUAAUUUCAGCAGCCAGUAGCUGCUGGAAGCAGCCUAGCUCCAGAUUCUAGGAUUCUUAAAAUCCCAAAAUUUUGCUCCUGGAAUCUGGACCAAAAUCCACCGGUUUGGAAGCUGGUCAGGUUCUGGCUUCUGGAUUCUUACAAUCAGUUGGCUUUCAAACCAGGCCUGCGUGGUUUGCUACAAAAUAUAGCAAAUUAAUUCUUGGCAAAGUUAGUCAAAGAAAUGAGUGUAUGAUGUGCAGUAAAGGGUUAGAAAGUAUUGCUGGCUAUAGUUAUGGUAGUUAACCAAACUCGAAUCUAAAUAAAUAAAUUGUGUUUAGACGAGGCAAUACCAAAGGUCAAGUCUUGGAUUCGGUGACUAAACUUUAGUUCUAUCAAAUUGGAUGUUUAGAUAUCAAUUAUAAAUAUUAAAUAUAUGCUAGUGUAAAACUAAUUGCAUAAAUAAAGACUAAUUGAUAAGAUGAAUCUACUAAAUCUAAUGAAUCUAUCAUUAAAUCAUGGACUAAUUAAUUUUAAUGGAUCCGUCAGGCAAAUUAGCCUCUAUUUAUGUAAUUAAUUUUUAAUUAAUCUAUACUUAAUACAUCUAGUUAGUUUCAAACAUAUGACGUGGUAGGACCGCACGUAACGAAAGCAAACGUUUCUUUCUCGGCAGGAACUUUGCAAUUUCAAUGCACUGACAGUACAAAAAUAUCUCGUAUUCAUCAUAUAUUAUAUAGCAAAUUCAACAUGGCCAUCAUCCACCGUCACGUCGACGUCAUCAACCGCACUGAUGGUCAUCCCGCAGACCCGCACACAGGAGUAGGACACGAGCCUCAUAAAAAAAAGUCCCGUCACCCGCAGCCUAGACCGCCAUGGCCACCGUACGAAACCGCACGUCCUGCCGCCCCGGCCGGUUCCGGCCGCAACCACGUCGUGGUGUUCCCGUUCAUGACCAAGGGCCACGCGCUCCCGCUCCUCCACCUCGCCUCGGCGCUCGCCGCGCGCCACGAGGCCCACGGUGGCCUCCGCGUCACGGUGCUCACCACACCGGGCAACCUCGCUUUCGCGCGCCGCCGCGUCCCGGCACACGUCGGCCUCGUCGCGCUCCCGUUCCCCGCGCACCCGGAGCUGCCGCCGGGCGUCGAGUCCACCGACGCGCUCCCCUCGCACAGUCGCACUCCCUCUUCCCGGCGUUCCUCCGCGCCACGGCGAUGCUCCGGGAACCCUUCUCGGGGUUCCUGGCUUCCCUGCCCGCGCCGCCGCUCGCGCUCGUCUCCGACUUCUUUCUCGGGUUCACGCAGCGCGUGGCCAGCGAUGCCGGCGUCCGCCGCCUCACGUUCCGCGGCAUGUCGGCCUUCUCGCUGGCGCUCUGCUUCUCCCUCGCGACGAGACCGCCCCCGGCCGGGAGCAUCGAGGACGGCGCCCCGUUCCCCGUGCCGGGGUUCCCGGAGAGCGUCACGAUCACGAAGGACGAGGUCCCGCACGCCGUGGCGCAGGCGGCCGACCUCGACGGCCCCGUGACACGGUUCUUGUUCGAGGAGGUCCGCGACUGGGACUACCGCAGCUGGGGCGUCCUGGUGAACAGCUUCGACGCGCUGGACGGGGACUAGGCUGCAAUCCUCGAGUCCUUCUACCUCCCGGGGGCGCGCGCAUGGUUCGUCGGCCCGCUGUUCGUCGCCGCCGGUGAGUCGCAGGAAGAGGACGGCGACGACGACCCGGAAGGGUGCCUCCCGUGGCUGGACGAGCGCGCGGCGAGGCGGCCCGGGUCGGUGGUGUACGUGUCGUUCGGCACGCAGGUCCAUGUCGCCGCCGCGCAGCUCGACGAGCUCGCGCACGGGCUGGUGGGCUCCAGCCACGCCUUCCUCUGGGCCGUCCGGUCCUCCGACGCGUGGUCGCCGCCGGUGGACGCGGGGCCCGAGGGAAAGAUCGCCAGGGGCUGGGUCCCGCAGCGCCCCGUGCUGGCGCACCCGGCGGUGGGGGUGUUCGUGAGCCACUGCGGCUGGAACUCCGUGCUGGAGAGCCUGCCCGCCGGGCGGCCGAUGCUGGCGUGGCCCGUGAUGGCGGAGCAGGCCGCGAACGCGAAGCACGUGGCGGACAUCCUCGGCGCGGGCGUCCGCGCGGGGGUGAAGGCCGGCGCCAAGCCGGAGCUGGUCGGCAGGGCGCAGGUGGCGGGGAAGGUCUGGGAGCUGAUGGACGGCGGCGGCGAGGCCGGGCGGGGGAUGCGCGCCAGGGCCGAGCGCGUCGGGGAGGCGGCGCGGGCGGCCGUGGGCGACGGCGGCACGUCGGGGCUGGCGCUGCGGCGGCUGGUGGACGAGCUGCAGCGAAGCUACGGCGGCGGCGGCGGCGGCGGCAGACAGCGCGAGGCGGCAGCAAGCGCCAAACCAAACGUGUGACAGCGGGCCACGGAGUGAUUGAAAAAGACAGCUGCAGUAGUGUGAGCUUUCGGUGCAAGCAAGCGCGUUGUUGUCCUGAUGUCAUGUCGUUUCUUCGAUGUCUUGUCCUUGGCUGCUAAGCGAGCAGUUGAUCUGCUUGUGAGGAGCAUCUCCCGGCGAGAGAUGGUGUGGAAAACUAGCAUUUGUGUCGUCUACGGUCGAACUCGAACCGAACGUCCCAAAUCUUCGCAUCCCAUCGUUGAUGUCCAAUGGAAAUACAGAUGGAUUUACUUGCAUCCGCGGAGCUCGCCGUCGCCAGUUGAGAAGGAUUCAAUGACCAUGAAUUUGGAGGGAGAGGGAGAGGGCAAGGUCUACCAGAUCGUGGGUGAAUCGUCACAAGUUCUGUAUCUGCUUUCUCUUUAGACCCAAAACCCGGCAGGUGAUCCAGGUCGAACUGCUGCCAAUUGCGAUCGGAAGCUGCCGGAAAUCACCCAACACGCAUCGGACAGGAUGCCCAUGUCUAAUCAAGCUAAUUUUGCACCGGGGAUACCUUGUCAGCACACCGCACCGGGGGUUUAGCAGCAGGUGUCGUCGGCCGGCCCCCGAUGUCGUGGCGCUCCCUGCGCGGCUGCGCGAACACCAUCUGACUGCCCC